CAAACAUUCAAGAAAGGGUGUAUUUGGAGAGUUGGAGAUGGUGCUAAGAUUAACAUCUGGGAUGACUGUUGGAUUCCCAGUAGCUUUUCAAGGAAAGUGGUUAUUGUUCGAGGCAACCAAGUGCUCAAAAAAGUGAUCGAACUCAUAGACCCAAUUACAGGUGAUUGGGAUGAGCAGUUGAUCCGUGAUAACUUCUGUCACAUAGAUGCAGAAUGCAUCCUACAGAUUCCCUUGCACCAGCAUGUGAUGGAAGAUUAUGUCGCAUGGCACCUGACUAAAAGCGGAAUUUUUUCUGUUAGAUCGGCUUAUUAUAAACAGUGGGAAGCUACGUAUGCAGGAGAUGAAGCUGAAGCAAACAUGUUUGGUGUGGAUGCACCACAUCCAAUAUGGAAGAAAAUAUGGAGUUUGAAAUUUCCCGAGAAGGUGAAGAUCUUUGUCUGGAGAUGCUUACAUAAUGCGAUACCGUACUUCUCUGUCUUAGUCAAUCGGCACAUCGGUAAUAUCUCGUAG
rnacentral:rRNA from 1 species